UACGUAGGGAGCAAGCGUUGUUCGGAUUUACCGGGCGUAAAGGGCGCGUAGGCGGCGCGGUAAGUCACUUGUGAAAUCUCUGAGCUUAACUCAGAACGGCCAAGUGAUACUGCAGUGCUAGAGUGCAGAAGGGGCAAUCGGAAUUCUUGGUGUAGCGGUGAAAUGCGUAGAUAUCGAGAGGAACACCUGCGGCGAAGGCGGGUUGCUGGGCUGACACUGACGCUGAACUGCGAAAGCUAGGGGAGCGAACGGG
rnacentral:rRNA from 1 species